CCUACGGGGGGCAGCAGUGGGGAAUAUUGCACAAUGGGGGAAACCCUGAUGCAGCGACGCCGCGUGAAGGAAGAAGGUCUUCGGAUCGUAAAGUUCUAUCAGCAGGGAAGAAUGAAGUGACAGUACCUGACUAAGAAGCCGCGGCUAACUACGUGCCAGGAGGCGGGGUAAUACAGAGGGGUCAAGCGUUAUCCGGAAUCAGUGGGUGUAAAGGGUGCGGAGGCGGUAGGGCGAGUCAGGUGUGAAAGCCCGGGGCUCAAACCCUGGAAUGCAUUUGAAACUGUCGUACUAGAGUGCAGGAGAGGAGAGCGGAAUUCCUAGUGUAGCGGUGAAAUGCGUAGAUAUUAGGAAGAACACCAGUGGCGAAGGCGGCUUUCUGGACUGUAACUGACGCUGAGGCACGAAAGCGUGGGGAGCGAACAGGAUUAGAUACCCUAGUAGUC
rnacentral:rRNA from 1 species